AAUAGAUACCCUGGUAGUCCACGCCGUAAACGGUGGGUACUAGGUGUGGGUUUCCUUCCUUGGGAUCCGUGCCGUAGCUAACGCAUUAAGUACCCCGCCUGGGGAGUACGGCCGCAAGGCUAAAACCCAAAGGAAUUGACGGGGGCCCGCACAAGCGGCGGAGCAUGUGGAUUAAUUCGAUGCAACGCGAAGAACCUUACCUGGGUUUGACAUGCACAGGACGCUGGUAGAGAUAUCAGUUCCCUUGUGGUCUGUGUGCAGGUGGUGCAUGGCUGUCGUCAGCUCGUGUCGUGAGAUGUUGGGUUAAGUCCCGCAACGAGCGCAACCCUUGUCUCAUGUUGCCAGCACGUGAUGGUGGGGACUCGUGAGAGACUGCCGGGGUCAACUCGGAGGAAGGUGGGGAUGACGUCAAGUCAUCAUGCCCCUUAUGUCCAGGGCUUCACACAUGCUACAAUGGCCGGUACAAAGGGCUGCGAUGCCGUGAGGUUAAGCGAAUCCUUUAAAGCCGGUCUCAGUUCGGAUCGGGGU
rnacentral:rRNA from 1 species